rnacentral:rRNA from 1 species
UAACAAGGAUUCCCCUAGUAACUGCGAGUGAAGCGGGAUGAGCUCAAAUUUGAAAUCUGGCGGUCUUGUUACCGUCCGAGUUGUAAUCUGGAGAGGCGUUUUCCGCGUUGGACCGUGUACAAGUCUCCUGGAACGGAGCGUCAUAGAGGGUGAGAAUCCCGUCCAUGACACGGACCACCAAUGCUAUGUGAUACGCCCUCGAAGAGUCGAGUUGUUUGGGAAUGCAGCUCAAAAUGGGUGGUAAAUUCCAUCUAAAGCUAAAUAUUGGCGAGAGACCGAUAGCGAACAAGUACCGUGAGGGAAAGAUGAAAAGCACUUUGAAAAGAGAGUUAAACAGUACGUGAAAUUGUUGAAAGGGAAACGCUUGAAGUCAGUCGCGUUGCACGGAACUCAGCCUUGCUUCGGCUUGGUGUACUUUCUGUGUGACGGGUCAACGUCAAUUUUGACCGGCGGAGAAAGGCGAGGGGAAUGUAGCGCUGUUUCGGCGGCGUGUUAUAGCCCUUUGUUGUAUGCGUCGGUUGGGAUUGAGGACCGCAGCACGCCUGUAAAUUGGCCGGGGGUUCGCCCUACGUUACGUGCUUAGGAUGUUGGCAUAAUGGCUUUAAGCGACCCGUCUUGAAACACGGACCAAGGAGUCUAACAUGCUUGCGAGUGUUCGGGUGGUAAACCCUUGCGCGAAAUGAAAGUGAAAGUUGGGAACCUCCGCGAGGGGGUGCACCGACGCCCGGCCCUGACGUUCUCUGACGGUGCUGCGGUAGAGCAAGUAUGUUGGGACCCGAAAGAUGGUGAACUAUGCCUGAAUAGGGCGAAGCCAGAGGAAACUCUGGUGGAGGCUCGUAGCGAUUCUGACGUGCAAAUCGAUCGUCAAAUUUGGG